rnacentral:rRNA from 1 species
AACGAACGCUGGCGGCGGGCCUCAUACAUGCAAGUCGAACGUGAAAACCCUUCGGGGCGAGUAAAGUGGCGCACGGGUGAGUAUCGCGUGGGUAAUCUACCAUUCGGAUGGGAAUAACUAAGGGAAACUUUAGCUAAUACCGAGUACGCUUCAUUUCUCAUAAUGUGAGAUGAAGGAAAGAUGGGGCAACCUAUCGCCGAAUGAUGAGCCUGCGUCCCAUUAGCUUGUUGGUGGGGUAAAAGCCUACCAAGGCUACGAUGGGUAGCUGGUCUGAGAGGAUGAUCAGCCACACUGGAACUGAGACACGGUCCAG